GGUAAUUUACCAACAAUUACGGUAAUUUACCAACAAUUACGGUAAUCUACCAACAAUUACGGUAAUUUAACAACAAUUACAAUAAUUUACCAAAAAUUAUGGGUAGAUACUUAUUUUACCAACAAUUACAGUAAUUUACCAAAAAUUACAGCAAUUUACCAACAAUUACUGUAACUUACCAAAAAUUAUAGUAAUUUACUGUAGUGGAUGAAAACGAACACACGAAAUGGUUGUAAAGUUUUUAUUAAUGUUUUUAUUUUGAAACAUGAAAUACACGGAUUAUAUUUAACGGAGCUUUACACAGCUUAUACUUAGUCGCGAAUAGUUCUAAGGGAACCGGUCCCAAAUGCAGGUAAGGUUAGGUUAGGUUAACUUAACCUUUGCACGUUCAGACAAACCAAAGAUCUCCAAUGGUACUAGGUAUCCACUGGGAGGAUGAAUGAGAUCCCUAUAAGGCUAAACCAAAGAUCUCCUAUGGUACAUAGGUAUCCAGUGGGAGGAUCAAUGAGAUCCCUAUAAGGCCAAACCAAAGAUCUCAAAUGGUACUGAAGCAGCCACAAUGAGAAUCAAUGGAGUGCGGCCUACACAUAAGUGAAGUUCUACACCUAUGUUAAGGUAGGCCUCCCUAGCUCUUCUAGCUAAAGAAGAUUAGACUUUGAUAGCCAGAAGAGAACUGAUUUUACCAGUGAGUUGGCUGAGUUUAUAUACUCUGAAAAAGGUGGAUGCACUAGCUUCUCAGCUGAUGAGGAAUGAGAUGUGCUAUGUUCACAGCACAUACGGAACAUGGACGAACGAACUAAUGAUUCAAAUGUUUGAUCACUGAACGUUAUCAUUUUCGCAUUAUUAUAGUUUAUGAGUAUUGAGUUUACAUUGCGAAUUAGGGAUUCAGCGAAUUUGUAUAAAUCAUCGAAGCGGAAUGUAUUGAUAUUAAAUAUAAAUUAUUGAUACUUGAUUGAUUUCGUGUUUCCAAUUUUCCAAAGGUGACAAAGGACGAUAAAAAAUAUUCGUAGAUUUGCCAGCUGCCAAAUUAUCAACUUUUGACUGAAGACUGAAGAGCGACUUGAUCUAUCUAUGUACCGACUCUGUUUUGUAAAGUGAAUUUUGCGAUGUAGUUAGCGAUUAUUUUUUUAGAUUGGUGAGAAGCUUUGGACAUCUUCGAAAUAUUGUGGCCAUCAUCGACCUCCGAAACAAACUUGUUCAACGAUGCUUUUAUGAAAAUGAAAAAUGUGCUUGUGUAUGCUGCUAUCCAUGAGUUUCCUGAUUUAUUUUUGUACGCUAUCAUCUAGUUUCUGGUUUAGUUUGAGACGUUUGAGUUGUCGUAAUCGUAACUGGGUGAUUAUGAGCACUUGGGUGAGAGAUAAAAUAUAUACUUGGUUAAUUCUUUGGGUAUUAGGUACUACAGAGAAGUUGUAUUUAUUUAUUCUUCCUUCAAAUAAAUGAAAUAAAAUUCAUAAAUUACUUCAA